rnacentral:rRNA from 1 species
AGUCGAACGAACUCUUCGGAGUGAGUGGCGCACGGGUGCGUAACGCGUGGGAAUCUACAUCCAGGUACGGAAUAACUCACCGAAAGGUGUGCUAAUACCGUAUAAUCCCCCAGGGGCAAAGAUUUAUUGCCUGGAAAUGAGCCCGCGUUAGAUUAGAUAGUUGGUGAGGUAACGGCUCACCAAGUCGACGAUCUAUAGCUGGUCUGAGAGGAUGAUCAGCCACACUGGAACUGAGACACGGUCCAGACUCC